rnacentral:rRNA from 1 species
GGACUACUGGGGUAUCUAAUCCCGUUCGCUCCCCUGGCUUUCGCGCCUCAGCGUCAGAAGAGGUCCAGCGCGCCGCUUUCGCCACCGGCGUUCCUUCCGAUAUCUACGCAUUUCACCGCUCCACCGGAAGUUCCGCACGCCCCUACCUCCCUCGAGGCGUCCAGUAUCAGGGGCCCUCUUCCGGUUGAGCCGAAAGAUUUCACCCCUGACUUGGCCGCCCGCCUACGCGCCCUUUAAGCCCAGUGAAUCCGAACAACGUUCGCACGGUUCGUCUUACCGCGGCGGCUGGCAC